rnacentral:lncRNA from 1 species
CAGCCAGGUCUUGGAAAGGAAGGCCAACAUGCCCUGGGCCGAUCAGACUCCAUCAUGUUGACUCCUGGGAGGCACAUUUUUGAGAAACAAUUAGGAACCAGGAAGCAUUCUGAGGAGGAAAGCCAGGAUGAAGAAGACUCAGAUAAAAAAGUCAUCCCACCAGGUCUGGAUGCAGUGUGACUGUAUCAGUCAGCUUUUGCUGGGUUAUGCCAAGUAACAAACAGGAUUCAGGCUGAAAGAUCAGCUAUGAAAUUGCUGGUUUUGAGGCACAGGAAAAAGAGUGAUGGCAGAACUGAGAAAUGACUUUAAAGCCUCUGCUCAGAAGUGGCUUAUAUCCCUCUGUUCACAUUUUAUUGGCCACAGAGAAUCACAUGAUCAAAUAUGUCUUCAGACUUGAUGGGCUUAGGGAGAUACCAUGCUCCCACAGGGAGGGGUGGUAACUAUUU